UACGUAGGGGGCUAGCGUUGUCCGGAAUCAUUGGGCGUAAAGCGCGUGUAGGCGGCUUGGUAAGUCCGUUCUGAAAGCCCGGGGCUCAACCCCGGGAGGCGGAUGGAUACUGUCAAGCUCGAGUCCGGAAGAGGCAAGUGGAAUUCCCGGUGUAGCGGUGAAAUGCGCAGAUAUCGGGAGGAACGCCAAAGGUGAAAACAGGUUGCUGGGGUUGUGCCGACGCUGAGACACGAAAGCCAGGGGAGCAAACGGG
rnacentral:rRNA from 1 species